UAGGGAAUCUUCCACAAUGGACGAAAGUCUGAUGGAGCAACGCCGCGUGAGUGAUGAAGGGUUUCGGCUCGUAAAACUCUGUUGUUGGAGAAGAACAGGUGAUAGAGUAACUGUUAUCAUCUUGACGGUAUCCAACCAGAAAGCCACGGCUAACUACGUGCCAGCAGCCGCGGUAAUACGUAGGUGGCAAGCGUUGUCCGGAUUUAUUGGGCGUAAAGCGAGCGCAGGCGGUUUUUUAGGUCUGAUGUGAAAGCCUUCGGCUUAACCGGAGAAGGGCAUCGGAAACCGGGAGACUUGAGUGCAGAAGAGGACAGUGGAACUCCAUGUGUAGCGGUGAAAUGCGUAGAUAUAUGGAAGAACACCAGUGGCGAAGGCGGCUGUCUGGUCUGUAACUGACGCUGAGGCUCGAAAGCAUGGGUAGCGAACAGGAUUAGAUACCCUGGUAGUCCAUGCCGUAAAACGAUGAGUGCUAAGUGUUGGAGGGUUUUCCGCCC
rnacentral:rRNA from 1 species